rnacentral:rRNA from 1 species
UACGAAGGUCCCGAGCGUUAUCCGGAUUUAUUGGGCGUAAAGGGUGCGUAGGCGGGUUAUUAAGUCAGUGGUGAAAGCCUUCAGCUCAACUGAAGAACUGCCAUUGAUACUGAUGAUCUUGAGUACGAUUGAGGUAGGCGGAAUGUGUCAUGUAGCGGUGAAAUGCUUAGAUAUGACACAGAACACCGAUUGCGAAGGCAGCUUACUAAGUCGUAACUGACGCUGAUGCACGAAAGCGUGGGGAGCAAACAGG